rnacentral:tRNA from 1 species
GGGGAUGUAGCUCAGUUGGCUAGAGCCCUUGACUGGCAGUCAAGAGGUCGUGGGUUCGAGCCCCAUCUUCUCCA